CACGUAGGGCGCGAGCGUUGUCCGGAAUUAUUGGGCGUAAAGAGCUCGUAGGCGGCCUGUUGCGUCCGCUGUGAAAGCCCGGGGCUUAACCCCGGGUCGGCAGUGGAUACGGGCAGGCUAGAGGUAGGUAGGGGAGAAUGGAAUUCCCGGUGUAGCGGUGAAAUGCGCAGAUAUCUGGAGGAACACCGGUGGCGAAGGCGGCGUGCUGGACUGCAACUGACACUGAGGAACGAAAGCCAGGGGAGCAAACGGG
rnacentral:rRNA from 1 species